CAUGAUAAAUGCUCCAGCUUCUCAAGAACUAACUAACUAACCAACCAACUGACAAUUGUGUUACAUAAUUGUGACAUGCGUUGCCUGGCGCUGGGCUGGAGCAAAUGAAAAUUUCUGACAGGGGCAUGCCAACCAGAUUGUCCUUCCACCCAUAGCGCGUCGUCCAGAGGAAUCAGAGAACCGUCCUGGGGAUUUUGGCUAAAUUGUCUGCAGAGUCUCCCUUGAUUCAGAAAAGCUUGUUGUUUUUGUUGUUUUUGUUUUUGUCGCUGUUUGUCCUCUUCAAUAAGACGGUUACCGCUCUCUCUCUACUGCAGGUACAGCCGUGUUGUACAGAACUUAAAGAAGGCACUUAAUCGCAAAUAAACCCAAAACAAGUGCUCCUUUGGGCGAUUCGCCCAGCAGCACAUUAGCCCAAAAAAAAAAAAAAAAAGAAAGAGAGAAAGAAAAGCAAAGAAAAUUACACACAGAACGCAUAGAUUACAGGGAUGGAUGAUUGGAAAAGGGCGUGGCACGAGAGCCAUUGCUUCACAACCCCGUCUACCUGUCUAGAUGACUCCGUAAGCGAUGCCGGAUUAUGAUUCAGACAAUUCAAAGAGAACCACAGCCGCUAGCAGUCAUAAUUCCUUAAAAAAGAGAAGAAGUAGAGAAAUAUUAAAAAAAAGACAGAAACUGAAAAACUCAACGGCAACAACAACCACACCAAUACAAUGAGCACAAAGGGAAAAGCGGCCAAAAAAAAAAAAAAAAAAAAAAAAAAAAGAAAGGAAAAAAGAAAAAAAUGCCUCGUCAUUGCAGGCGCAAAUCACCAAUCAAUGAAAUCAUCAGGCUGGGCUGAUGUGUGCGUCGUAAGACAACAAGAAACAAAAAAACAGGGGGCAAAAAGCAAACAUAUCGUUAGCUUGCAUGGUCGCAAGCUUCCAAGAACCUGCGACGGCUGAUUCGACAAGAUCCCUUGUCCCUUGCAUCGUGGUGCAGCCACUGAAUACGAUGGGAUGGUCGGCAGCCGCCGGGCCAAGGAACCCAAAGGGAAUACGGGCCCAUUACCGAUACAGUACAUCGAAUACCGCCGUACGCCGUACGCCCUAGCGUAAGUCCCCGGUGGAUCCACGACCCAGUGACCCACGCUCCGGCUCCCGAUCCAGGCGUGGCCCAGCCAGAGCGUCAGACAGCCAGACAACCCGCCCGCGGUGGGUUGCACAUGCACUCGGACACGGCCACGGGCUGCAAUGCCUAUAUAUUCCCCUGAACCCUCCCUCUGCUUUCCAAAAUCUUUCCUGACUCUUCCUUCUCCCAAUCUUUACCGAACCUAAUCUCUGCAUACCUUUUCGAAGAAUAUUUCUUCUGCCUCUCGUUUUGCAACAACGUCGCUCUGGUACUUUCCGUCACUGUUUCUUCCCAAUACAAUCGUUGUAUAACAAAGGAGCAGCUUAAUUCCCCAACUUUCAAAAUGCAUCUUUCCAUCGUUGCUGUUGCCGUUUCGGCUCUUGCCAUGUCCGCCCAGGCCACGGUUGCUGAUGGCGGCUAUCCGGUUUCCUCUCCACCCCCUGAGCCGUCCUACCCAGCUGAGCCCUCUUACUCCGCUGAGCCAUCCAACUCGGCGCCUGGCUACCCGACCGGAGGCUACCCUAUUCCUUCCGAGUCUGAGUAUCCCACUAAAACCGCUGAGCCCACCGGCUAUCCCACCCACGGGUUUCCUUCUCCCAGCGAGUAUCCUACUGGAACUCCUCCCGCCUCUCCCACCGGGGGCUAUCCUACUCCCAGCGAAUAUCCUACUCAGUCCCCUCCCCACUCUGAGUAUCCUACUCGAUCCCCUCCCGCCUCGGAGUACCCAACUCAGAGCUACCCGAACACCGUUCCUCCUUACCCAACCGGUCCUUCCCCCUCCAGCGCCCAACCCACUGGCACCGGUGGCUAUCCUACCACCACUCCUCCCGCCCCAACUUACCCACCAGGUGAGGGCGCUGGUUUCUCCACUAGCGUUCCCUUCGGACUUGGCCUUGCUGCUGCUCUCUUUGCUGCUUUCCUGUAAAUGGAGCAACCAUUGAAGAUUUGCAUGCAAUGAACUUGAGAACCCCUUAACAAUAAUAUUUCUUGUUCCUAAUUAAGUCGACCUAUUCAACAACGGGUGGAUAAACUGACAAUCCUGUCUUUUUGCUAUUGGGCGGGCGGGGUGGCUUAAUUGGCGAAUCCACCUGUAUUCAUUUCUACUCUUUCCUCUGUAUAGCAGAUGCUUGGAAGGGCCUAUCAGACCAGGGAAUGCCGAGAGGUAUCCGUGGUCUGGACAAGUGAUGACGUUUGACUCUACCGCAAUACAGUGUUACACAAUUUUUACCUUUUUAAUCACAACCUGGUAUCCAGCUGGCGUUCUGUUGAGUUGGACAUGAUAUACGUUGUUAUUCUGCCAAAUACGACUUUUCCAUAACCCUUAUGUUUUUCUUUUUCGGAUAGACUUUGUUUAUUCUUAGUAUUCUUCACGUCCUCUAAUAAGACUCAUUACGACCCAUUUAGAUGAAAGU
rnacentral:sRNA from 1 species